AUUGAACGCUGGCGGCAUGCUUUACACAUGCAAGUCGAACGGUAACAGGCCGCAAGGUGCUGACGAGCGGCGAACGGGUGAGUAAUGCAUCGGAACGUGCCCAGUCGUGGGGGAUAACGCAGCGAAAGCUGCGCUAAUACCGCAUACGAUCUAUGGAUGAAAGCGGGGGACCGUAAGGCCUCGCGCGAUUGGAGCGGCCGAUGUCAGAUUAGGUAGUUGGUGGGGUAAAGGCUCACCAAGCCGACGAUCUGUAGCUGGUCUGAGAGGACGACCAGCCCCACUGGGACUGAGACACGGCCCAGACUCCUACGGGAGGCAGCAGUGGGGAAUUUUGGACAAUGGGCGCAAGCCUGAUCCAGCCAUGCCGCGUGCAGGAUGAAGGCCUUCGGGUUGUAAACUGCUUUUGUACGGAACGAAAAGACUCUGGUUAAUACCUGGGGUCCAUGACGGUACCGUAAGAAUAAGCACCGGCUAACUACGUGCCAGCCGCCGCGGUAAAAC
rnacentral:rRNA from 1 species